AUGAACGCUGGCGGCGUGCCUAAUACAUGCAAGUCGAGCGAACGGACGAGAAGCUUGCUUUUCCGAUGUUAGCGGCGGACGGGUGAGUAACACGUGGAUAACCUACCUAUAAGACUGGGAUAACUUCGGGAAACCGGAGCUAAUACCGGAUAAUAUUUUGAACCGCAUGGUUCAAAAGUGAAAGACGGUCUUGCUGUCACUUAUAGAUGGAUCCGCGCUGCAUUAGCUAGUUGGUAAGGUAACGGCUUACCAAGGCAACGAUGCAUAGCCGACCUGAGAGGGUGAUCGGCCACACUGGAACUGAGACACGGUCCAGACUCCUACGGGAGGCAGCAGUAGGGAAUCUUCUGCAAUGGGCGAAAGCCUGACGGAGCAACGCCGCGUGAGUGAUGAAGGUCUUCGGAUCGUAAAACUCUGUUAUUAGGGAAGAACAUAUGUGUAAGUAACUGUGCACAUCUUGACGGUACCUAAUCAGAAAGCCACGGCUAACUACGUG
rnacentral:rRNA from 1 species